CUCACUCCCUCUAUUGCCUCUCCAGACCCAGACUUCACCCUCAGGUCACCCUCACCUGGACUUUGGGGUGCCCCACACCCCGCCCCAGGCCCUGGCCUCUGGAAUAUUUGGAAACUUGAACUGGGCCAGAGGCUUAAGCUCACAUCUGUCUGGAGCCUCAACUUUCUCCUCUGUAAAAUGGGCUAACACUGAAAGAACCUUGCAGAAUCUCAGCAACGUCACAGAGGACAUUGUUAGCACAGCCAGCGGGCUCCUGCUGGGCUGAGUUUGUGGGUAAUCCAAGCCUCGGCAGGUACAGUUCCUCCCUCAGGGCCCAGGACACAGUGAGCAUACAAUAGACAUUAGCUGCUGUGGUGUCUUGAUUUCAAGCCCAGUGCAGAUGCAUCUGACUUACGAAACUUCAGUGACACCUGCUCUGUGCCAGACACUGAAGAUGGAGCAGUGAACAGCACUGACCCAGCCUGUCCUCCUGUUGCCUGCAGGCCAGACGGAGUCUCACUCUGUCACCAGGCUGGAGUACAGUGGUGUGAUCUCGGCUCACUGCAACCUCCGCCUCCCAGGUUCAAGCGAUUCUCCUGCCUCAGCCUCUCAAGUAGCUGAGAUUACAGACAAGCAAGGUCUCGCUGUGUUACCCUGGCUGGAGUGCAGUGGCUACUUACAGGCAUGAUCAUAGCAUACUGCAGCCUCGAACUCCUGGACUAGAGCAGUUCUCCUGCCUCAGCCUCCAGAGCAGCUGGGACUGCAGACACGCACCACAGAGCCCAGCCUGAGUCAUUUUGAUUCUGUAACUGGCUUCCUCUCGGCGGGCAGGCUCACACCCUCCACCCCCAGCUGGAGAUGGAAGGAGGAUGCUCACCGCCCAUUCCUCAUGCAGGCCAUCGAUGGAAAUGUCAGACAGUGCGAGUCCACG
rnacentral:lncRNA from 10 species